rnacentral:rRNA from 1 species
UCCUACGGGGGGCAGCAGUAGGGAAUUUUCGUCAAUGGGCGCAAGCCUGAACGAGCAAUGCCGCGUGAAGGAAGAAGGCUUUCGGGUUGUAAACUUCUUUUCUCAGGGACGAAGCAAGUGACGGUACCUGAGGAAUAAGCCACGGCUAACUACGUGCCAGCAGCCGCGGUAAUACGUAGGUGGCAAACAUUAUCCGGAUUUACUGGGUGUAAAGGGCGUGUAGGCGGGACU